rnacentral:rRNA from 1 species
AUUGAACGCUGGCGGCAGGCCUAACACAUGAAAGUCGAGCGGAGCGGCGGACGGGUGAGUAAUGCCUAGGAAUCUGCCUGGUAGUGGGGGAUAACGUCAGGAAACGGGAGCUAAUACCGCAUACUAUCAGAUGAGACUAGGUCGGUUUAGCUAGUUGGUGGGGUAAAGGCCUACCAAGGCUACGAUCCGUAACUGGUCUGCGAGGUUGAUCAGUCACACUGUAACUGAGACACGGUCCAGACUCCUACGUGAGGCAGCAGUGGGUAAUAUUUGACGAUGGGCGAAAGCCUGAUCCAGCCAUGCCGCGUGUGUGAAGAAGGUCUUCGGAUUGUAAAGCACUUUAAGUUGGGAGGCGGUACCAACAGAAUAAGCACCGGCUAACUUCGUGCCAGCAGCCGCGGUAAUUC